CACAGGGAACUGCACUCCUGCCACAGACACACUGCAACUUGGACGGCUGUGAAGAUGCUAUACCCAGGGAGCAAAGCCAGUCACAAAGGCCAUGUGUUGAGGGUAGUCCUGGCUUCUGUAAGAAAGUAGGCUCAGCAAGCCACGAAGAGCAAACCAGUAAGCAGCACCCCUCCAUGGCCUCUCCCAUGGCCUCUCCCAUAAGCUUCAGACUCCAGGUUCCUGUCCUGUUUGAGUUCUUAUCCUGGCCCAGUAAGCAGGAUUCCUCCGUGGCCUCUGCAUCAGUUCCUGCCUCCAGGUUCCUGCCCUGUUUGAGUUCCUGUCCUGACUUCCUUCUGUCAUAACAUCACUAUGGAAGUUUAAGUUUCUUUGGUCAUGGUGUUUCACUGUAGCAAUAGUAACCUUAACUAAGAUAAGUUGGUGCCAGAAUAGUGGGGUAUUGCUGUGACAGACCUGACUGUGUUGUUUUGAGGAGGACUGUGGAAGGACUUUGGAGCUUUGGGCUGGAAAAGCCAUUGGCUGCUGAGAGCUCAGUGAGCCGUUCUCAGGAGUUUGGAAGAUAAGAAUCUUGAGAGAUGGAGGCCUGGCUUGUGACGUUUCAGAGGGAAACAAAGACUCUAGUUAACCUUUUGUGUGAAGCAUCAGUGGUUCUGGUCAGCUGUGAUUAAGACGAGGCCAGCAUCACUGAGGUGAAAUCUGGGAAAUGUUUCCUUGGGGUCAGCACACAGAGGCUGUGCUCCAGCGGUGGUCAAGGUUGUACCUCCUGAUGGCAGCUGAAUUUGGAAGUGUGAGAGUCACCCACCCAGGUGGUGCUGGUUUUGAAAGCAUGAAGGGGUCAUGGAGAGCGGCUGAGGCUUGUCACUGCGUGGCAGAACUGGAGUCCCUGGAGUGGAGUCCCUAGCCUGUUGGUGAAAAUGUAGCCCAGAUACAGAAGAAGACUCCACUAUUUUGGAGACGCCAGUACCAAAGAACAGCAGCAGCCUGGCAUGGAUCCAGCUGACACCUACAAUACAAGCUGUGUGUGCUGCAGAGGGCGGAGCCAGAGAAGUGACGCAAGCCCCUUGGAGGAGCCCAGAAGAUGAAACUGAGCGCCGCAUCUCUGUCCCUUCCCGCUGACCUCCGUUAUUCACCGUUAUUCCCGGCUGCUUUCUGGUGUAAGCUCACCCCAGCAUUUGGAUUCUCCAGAGCAGAGUCCAUCAAUCUCUCGUCAGCUUGCCUUUCCAAGAGAUGAAACUUCCCACAUGUCUGCAUGGCGGGCCGACACGUCCCACACGUCUGUAUUCCGGUGCCUGCAGUUUGACCAUUUUUCUUAGGACUUAUCUCUUGAGACUCCUCUUUCUUGUUGUGUAUGCAGACAUUUGUUAUUAUUAGUAAGCAUGGUCACUGGGGCUUGGAUUCUGCUCUGGUUUACAUGUCACUAUACAACAGACCUGACUGAACACCACCAGGUGCCCUGCUGGCAGGCCACAGAGAUGGCAUCUCUUAGGACGUUUGGGGUCUGGGCCAGCUCUCUAGACAAAAAUGGCUCACAUUCUUUCCCUAAGACCUCCCUAGUCACCCCAUCAUGACUGCUUCAUUCUCCUGUUCAAGGCACUGGUCCCCCAUCAAGUCCACGGGUGAGCAGUACCUGGCUAAGUAUCUGGUUCUGGACACAGCUCCUCUUGGUCUGAGACAUUUUGAGAAAAGAAAAGAGGUUAUCUUCCACCCCUUCCAGUACAGAGCUGUGACAGGAAUAGGAGACUCUCUGCAGACACCCUUAGGGAACACUGGUACCCCAGAUUCUUGAUUGGGUUCCCCUCAGCCCCCGAGAUCCUUUUCCUGCCUUUCUGUUCUGUCCCUGAGCUCAAUGGACCUCCUGGGCCAUACUACUUUCAUAGGAAAUAGCUAGAAUCUGAGCCAAGUUUGAGGUGUCCGAGACCUGUGACUUAGUGCAUCUGCUCCUUCAGUCUGCACACGGACAUCUGAGGAAAGUGUCACCCAACAACUCUGUCCUGUCUGUAGCCUUGCUGUGACCUGCUCUAGGGUCUGGACUUCAGGAUGCUGUUUUUAUAGUGCUUCUGGGAAGCAGACCUGCGGGUAUCACUAGAGAGCUGUGAACUGGAUGGCCUCCAGGCAGGGCCCUGGAUAUUUCUGGGCCAGUCUUAGUCUGGUUUUGCUGCUAUAACAAAACACCAGGAACCGGGUAGUUUACAGAGCACGUGGACACCUCCCCAGUUUGGAGGCUACAAAUCUGAGACCAAGGUAUGGCAUCUGGUGAGAGUCAGCUUGCUGUGUCCUCAGGUGGCAGAAGAUGGCGGGGAGAGAGAUAAAUACUGUGUCCUCACAUUGUGGAAAGUAGGGGGUGAAAGGGAAGAGACAUUCUAUCUGAGAUGACGGGGCUAAAGAUUGGAGGAGAGAAUACACCCCUUUUGCUGCCUUUACAGCGGUGCCAAGUCCUCUCCAGUCUAAUUCUGAGAGUCUGCCUGCAAAACCGCUGUCAGGAUUGUUUCUCCCCAAUCCUGCUAUGAUGGGGACAUGGGGGCUGUUACAGAAGCUUCCCAAUAUAACUAGGGUGUUAGUUGGCUCCAUCUUUACUACGAGUCCAUUCUGCCCAUUCGGUGGCUGGAAUCUUCAUCACACUCCACACUGAGAUGACAGCGAUGGCCAUGCCAGAAAAGGGGACUGGUCCCUCGCUGCCCUGAAGCAAGUCCCUGGCUGGCAAAGUGCCUUGGUCUGCUGACUCCUGAGUGGACUGUAUUAUAGUUCCUGGCUGCCUCUUGUCAUAUUUUCCAGGGGCGGAGAAGGUUUAUAGGAGGAAGAAAGCCAGAUUGUAGCCCCCACCUUGCUUUGAGAUUUUUGUUCCAGAAUCUCCAGUCAGUGUUUUCCAGAAAUGUCUGGCUGGCACCACUGUGGGGAAGCUGGCUGUUGAGGAAGCCAGGGAGCCGCCUUCAGUACUGAGAUGAACAGGGUGAGUCGGGCACAGCAAUAAACGUGAAGGCCUCAGCGCCUCAGUGUCGCUAAAAACAGCAGUCCAUGUGUGCAUUGGAAAGACACUCCAAAUUCAACCCCUUUGUGAUGAAGGCUCAAGAAGACAGUUGGCUCAUCUACUGGCUAGUUUGGGGUCAACUUGACACAAGCUAGAGUCAUCAGAGAGGAAGAAGCCUCAGUUGAGGAAAUGCCUCCCUGAGAUCCGGCUGUAAGGCAUCCUCUCAGUUAAUGAUCAAUGGGAGAGGGCCCAGUCCAUUGUGGGUCCAUCCCUGGUUCAGCCCAGUCUAUCCAUGGGCUGAUGGGCCUGUUUUUUCUUUAAGAAAGCAGACUGAGCAAGCCAGUAAGCAGCACCCCUCCAUGGCCUCUACAUCAGCUCCUGCCUCCAGGAUCCUGCCCCGUUAGAAUUUUUGCCCUGAUUUCUUCCAAUAACGAACAGCAAUGUGGAAGUGUAAGCUGAAUAAGCCCUUGGUCAUUGUUUCAUUGCAGCAAUAGAAACCCUAAAAUGAGACAGGUCACUUCAGCAUCAGUGAUGUGGAGCUGUCCUGCUAACCAUCUUUAUAUGCUAGUUAGCCAUGCUGGUCUGUGGUCGUGUCGCAAAUAAACGCUGAAUACGAGACAUCAGAAACAAGGAACCAUGUGACUGGGAGCCAAGGAAAGAAGCAAAUCUCUCCUUAGAGCCGGGAACCCAUCCAACCUCUCCUCCAGCAGGUUCCCCAGAAAUGAGAGUCAUUUGUGAGCAAUGCCAGAUGCUGGGUUGCAACCUGCAAACAUUCUCUAAGAUAACCUCCCAGAACUGGCCAUGUUUGGCCCGGAGGCCAUGCAAGCAUUGUAUAUUCAGAGCUGGACUCAAGGAUUCACAUACGAGGGAAAAUAAAACGGUGUUUUUCCAACGAAGGACCACAGAGCAUAGGCGCCGCACAGCAUCAUGGGAUUGUGAGAGACUUGCUCAUGGCUGGUCCCAACCUCACCAACACUGGGUAUUGCCAGCCCUUUAUGCUUUAGCCCUGGGCUUGAGUUUGAAUUGCCCUGUCCCUGGUGUGGCCAUGCUGGUCACUGUGUGCCCAUCGGAAUUUGUGGCUCUUCUGGGAAGAGAUUCUUCAAGUUGUUGCUUCAUUUCCUUGGGUUAUCUUUUAAUCUCUGUUGAAUUGUAGGGCCUCUUAUGUACUAUGAAUAUGUUAUUAUAUAUAUACAGAUACAUAGUAUUAUUAUUUAUUAUAUAAUAACAUCUACAUAAACACAUUAUAAUAAUUGUUGUAUAUUGUACCUUUAUAUAUAAAAACAUAUUCAUACACACACACAUAUAUAUGUAAAUUAUUAGUAUUUGCUCCAGGACCUACAUGAUAGAAGGAAAUAGUUGAUUCCUGAAAAUUGCCCCCUGACUUCCACACAUGCUAUGGUAUAGCUGCAUCAACAAACAAAUGUAAAAAAAAAAUCUCUCCUAGAGAGAGUCAUUAUUCUGGUUUCUAGUCCCAUAGACUUGGCUUUCCAUGUUCUUGGGCUUAACCUAAGCAGUAGUGUGACACGCAUACUAUUGUGACUGUGGCUUCUUUUAGUCAAACAAAGGAAGCCUUAGCAAGUCAUCCAUGUUGUCUCUUUUUAUGAUUUAUUUAAUGUACACAAGUGUUCUGCUUGCAUAUAUGUCUGUGUGAAGGUGUCAGAUCCCCUGGAACUGGAGUUACAGACAGUUGUGAGCUGCUGUUUGGUGGCUGGGAAUUGAAUUUGGGUCCCUUGGAAGAGCAGCCAGUGCUCUUAACCACUGAGCCAUCUCCACAGCCAAUAUAUCUCUAUGAUUUAUUUUUAAUUGUUACAUAACAUUCAACCAGUAAAUUAUGUUAGCUUAUUUAUUCAUUUUCUAGAUGGUGAACAGUUGAGUUGCUUCCUGCCUUUGGCUUCUUAAAAUGAAGCUAUUCACAGGGGGUGAUGGCACACACCUUUAAACCCAGCCCUUGGGAGGCAGCUCCAGGCCAGCUUGGUCUAUAUAGAGAGUUCUGGGUCAGCAGGGAUACACAGUGAGACAAUGUCAAAGAGGAGGAGGAGGAGGAAGAGGAGGAAGAGGAGGAGGAGGAAGAGGAGGAGGAGGAAGAGGAGGAGGAGGAAGAGGAGGAGGAGGAGGAAGAGGAAGAGGAGGAAGAGGAGGAGGAGGAGGAGGAAGAGGAGGAGGAGGAGGAGGAGGAGGAAGAGAGGGAGGAGGGAGGAAGGAAGGAAGAAGGAAGGGGAAAAUGAGAAAGGUGAGGAGGAAAAGGAAGAUACAAGAAAGAAGGAAGAGACUAGAGAGGAGAAGAAGGGAAAGGAAGAAGGAGGGAGAAGAGAGAAUAAAGAAAAAGAAGGUUCUUGAGUUCUUUAAAAAUUUUGGAUAUUAACCCUCUGUCAAAUGUAGGGUUCGUGAAGAUUUUUUUCCUAAUCUGUCAGUUGCCGAUUUGACCUAUUGACGGUGUCUUUUGUCUAACAGAAGCUUUCCAGUUUCAUGAGGUCCCAUUUAUCAAUUGUUGAUCUUAGAGCCUGAGCCAUUGGUGUUCUGUUCAGGAAAUUUCCCUCUGUGCCAAUGAAUUCAAGGCUCUUUCCCACUUUCUCUUCUAUUAGAUCCUGGUUUUACGUUAAGGUCCUUGAUCCACUUGGACUUGAACUUCGUUCAAGGAGAUAAAUGUGGAUUUAUUUUCAUUCUCCUACUUUCAGACCACCAGUUAGACCAGCAAUGAUAUUGAAGAUGCUUUCUUUUUCCACGGUAUGUUUUUGGCUUUCUUUUGUCAGGUGUCCAUAGGUGUGGAGGUUUACUUCUGAGUCUUUGAUUCUGUUCUGUUGACCAACCUGCCUGGUUCUGUCCCAAAGCCAUGCAGUUUUUACUCACUGUUGCUCUGUGGUACAGCUUGCAAGUACACCCUUGUAGUACAGGGGUGGGGAUUCCCCUGGGAGUUCUUUUAUUGUUGAGAAUUGUUUUGGCUCUCCUGGGUAUUUUGUUUUUCCAUAUGAAGUUGAGGAUUGCUCUUUCCAUGUCUGUGAAGAAUUGUGUUGGAAUUUUGAUGGGGAUUGCAUUGAAUCUGUAGCUUGCUUUGGUAAGAUGACCAUUUUUCACUGUUAAUCCUACAUAUCAUGGAAAUCCUAUCUAUCAUGGGAGAUCUCUCCAACUUCUGAGGUCUCCUUCGAUUUCUUUUUUUCACAGAUUUGAAGUUCUUGUCACACAGAUCUUUCACUUGCUUGAUAAGAGUUACACCCAAAAAAACAAAUAACCCAAUUGAAAAAUGGGGUAUAGAGCUAAACAGAGAAUUUAUAACAGAAGAAUUUCAAAUGGCCGAGAGCACUUAAAGAAGUGCUCAAAGUCCUUAGUUAUCAGAGAAAUGCAAAUCAAAAUGACCCUCACAACAAUCAGUCCUUCAACUGAAGAGUAGAUGCAGAAAAUGUGGUUCAUUUACACAAUGAAAUACUAUUCAGCUAUUAAAAACGAGGACAUCAUGACUUUUGUGGGCAAAUGGAUAGGACUAGAAAAUAUCAUCCUGAGUGAGGAAACUCAGACUCUAAAGGAUAUACAUGGUAUGUACUCACUAAGUGGAUAUUAGCCAAAAAUACAGAAUACCUUGGAUACAACCCACAGACCAUGAGAAGUAUAACAAGCAGAAAUGUUCAAGUGAAGAUGCUUCAAUCUCAUUUAGAAGGAGGAAGGAAAUAAUCGCAGGAGGCAGAGGGAGAGAGGGACCUGGGUGGGAGAGGGAAAGGGGAGAGAAAAAGGGAACAGGAUCAGGUAGGGGCAGGGGAGAAACCCAGAGGGCCAGGAGAAUGAAUGGAAAAAGCAGCCUUGUGGCGUAGGAAGUGGAGGACCCUCUAGAAAGUACCAGAGACCUAGGAGGUGAGAGACUCUCAGGACUCAAUGUAGGUGACUUUAGCCAAAAUACCCAACACUGAGGAGAGGGAACUUCAAGAGUCCACCUCCAGGAGAUAGACAGGGUCUCAACCUGCAGUCAAAAUUUCUCACCCAGAAUUGUUCCUGUCUAAAAGAACUGCAAGGACGAAAAUGGAGAAGAGACUGAGGGAAAGGAGGUCCAAUGACCAGCCCAACUUGAGAUCCACCUCAUAGGGAGGCCCCAAGACCUGACACUAUUACUGAUGCUAUGAUGUGCUUACAGACCUAGCAGGGCUGUCCUCUGAGAGGCCCUACCAGCAGCGGAGACAGACACAAAUACUUAAACCCAAUCAUUGGACUGAAGUUGGGGACCCCUAUGGUUGAAUUAGGGGAAAGACUGAAGGAGCUGAAGGGGAGAGCAACCCCAUAAGAAGAUCAUCAGCCUCAACUAACCCAGACCCCAGGGAGCUCCCAGAGACUGAGCCACCAACCAGGAGCAUACAUGGCCAAGCUGAGACCCCUGGCACAAAUAUAGCAGAUGCCUGGUCAGGCUUCAGUGGGAGAAGAUGCUCUUAAUCCUCGAGAGCCUCAAGGCCCCAGGAAAAGGGGAGGUCUGGUGGGGAGACAGCACCCUCUUGGAGGUAAGGGAGAGGAACUGUGGGAUGGGGGUUACAACUGGAAUGUAAAUAGAUAAAAUAAUUUUUAAAAAAUCAAAAAACAAGAGAAAGGAGGAGGAAGAGGAGGAGGAGGAAGAAGAGGAAGAAGCAGAAGAAACAGUUAUCAUUAAUGCUGUGUUUGUACACAAACAUGUUUUGCUGUUGGCCAUUUGCUUGUUUUUCACAUAGGAUUAAACAGCUGUGUCUUAAUGUUGUUCAGGACUGUAUUCUGAACCUCACUGAUGUAUUUUCAGGAUUUUAAACCAUAGGGGCAAAGGAAGAAGAAGGGAGACAACAGAAAGGAGGAGGAGGAGGAGGAGGAGGAGGAGGAGGAGGAGGAGGCAGUAUCCAGCCAUCCCUCCCAAACAGUGGUGUAAAGUCCCACCCUAAUUGCAUGUGGCUACAGUACAUCAGUACAUAGGUGGGGAAGUCCUAGCAGAAGAAGUGAUGUCUAUACAGUCGUGGAGAAGUUAUCCAUGCUGACCUUCCAGUGUGGCUGUGUUA
rnacentral:lncRNA from 1 species